rnacentral:rRNA from 1 species
CCUACGGGUGGCAGCAGUGGGGAAUAUUGCACAAUGGGGGCAACCCUGAUGCAGCGACGCCGCGUGAGUGAAGAAGUAUUUCGGUAUGUAAAGCUCUAUCAGCAGGGAAGAGAAUGACGGUACCUGAGUAAGAAGCCCCGGCUAACUACGUGCCAGCAGCCGCGGUAAUACGUAGGGGGCAAGCGUUAUCCGGAUUGACUGGGUGUAACGGGAGCGUAGACGGCGGAGCAAGUCUGAAGUGAAAGCCCGCGGCUCAACCGCGGAACUGCAUGGGAGACUUUUUUGCUGGAGUACCGGAGAGGUAAGCGGAAUUCCUAGUGUAGCGGUGAAAUGCGUAGAUAUUAGGAGGAACACCAGUGGCGAAGGCGGCUUACUGGACAGUAACUGACGUUGAGGCUCGAAAGCGUGGGGAGCAAACAGGAUUAGAUACCCUAGUAGUC